AGAAUCAACGCUGGCGGCGUGCCUAACACAUGCAAGUCGAACGCGAAAGGGGAGCAAUCCCUAAGUAGAGUGGCAAACGGGUGAGUAACACGUGGGUGACCUGCCUUCGAGUGGGGGAUAACGUCUCGAAAGGGACGCUAAUACCGCAUGACAUCCUGCCUUUGGACAGGUGGUGAUCAAAGCCGGGGAUCCGCAAGGACCUGGUGCUUGAAGAGGAGCCCGCGUCCGAUUAGCUAGUUGGUGAGGUAAUGGCUCACCAAGGCGACGAUCGGUA
rnacentral:rRNA from 1 species